UGGCUUCAUACAUGAUUCUCUGAGUGGAUGGAUGUUUUUUAGUGCCUUGCAACUAAGGAUACUACCUCGCUGAGAUGAUACAUCCUACAGGGACAACUCAGAUCUUAGCCUGGGAGCAAAUUCAGCUCUCAGGCCCUUCAGAUGCUGUGCACCUAUUCCAUGGAUUGCUUCAGAACAUUAUUUGAAGCUGGAGCCAGGCAUGUCCAUUCUGCCUUCUGUAAAGUGGACUUGACAGUGUCGGGUCUCCUUCCCCAGAGUGCAGAGGGAGUCAGGACUCGGUUGGGUAAAGAACAAAGCAACCUCUGUUAAGAGCAAACCACAGCCUGAAGAAAGCAAAGGGCCACAUCUGACUCAUCCAGAUGACUCAUACCUGGGAUUUCUGGGCCUCAACUAGGCUUCCUGCAGCCUGUCGAAGCUUGCAAAGAGCUAUGAGGAGAUCUGAAAAAGAGAAAACUCUUGCAUGCUGUCUGUGUUGGGGGAAUGGAUCUACCCAUCUGGGUCCAGGGCAAGCUCCUUGCAAGUAGCCACUGAGUUUAUUAGCACUACACAGUCAGAUCGCCGAGGUUCCGGUUGGCAGCCAUGAAAAGACCACGUGAAGUUGCCCUUUUUGGUUUGGCCAGCUUUGGGUACUCUUUUUUACAUUGUUAAGUCUUGGGGAAGAGCAGCUAGCUUUGGUGUGCAAACGAAGGCAUCCCUGUCAAUGUUUGCGCAGAAUCAGAGCUGUUUGGGGAUGGUCUACCUUCAGGGACACACAGACCCUAGUGACAAUCAACUCUCCUGGUAAAUACAUCAUGUCGGGUUGCCACAGCUAUUACCUAUCUCUUUACAUUGAAAGCCAACUUACCGCAGUUAUCUCUGUUAAUCUUUGUGCUGUUAGAUUACCUUGUGAUCCAGCUCCUGAGGUUCUCGGGGAGAACUCGAUGCAAGCUCUUGCUUCAGGUGUCUGACAUUCCUCAGUGCUGAUCCACAGCCGUGACUCACUGAGUGAUUGGGACCACAGAGAAGCCAGUAUAUUUCCACUACUCCUAUUGGGGGGGGGGUCUUCAUACCCCAAGAGCAGACAAUUACCCAACUUCCACCCAUUAAAAUACAAGAAUUGGGCU
rnacentral:lncRNA from 1 species